GCCGGUGUAGCUCAGGGGUAGAGCGGCUGUUUUGUAAACAGCGGGUCGCGGGUUCGAAUCCUGUCACCGGCUCCA
rnacentral:tRNA from 1 species